rnacentral:pre_miRNA from 1 species
GCCUAACAAAAAUUAUCUCGAGAUAUCGGUACCUCAUGGUACUGUGAGGUACCGGUACCUAAGGUACUUUUUGUUGGGCC